CGACCCCACGCCACGCAGAGGUGAAGAUACGCAGGACGUCCUCUAAAGCAACUUCCGUGGGUGCCAGGUUGUGGGCUGGGGGCGGUGCUGACCUUGAGAGAGCGGAGGAGGCGCAGGCGCAGCACAGUUUAAACUUGAUUUUGUGAGGGGACGAACAGCGUGACAAUUAAAAGAAGAUCUGGGAAUCAAAAGCUUCCUGAGGCCUUCACCAGAAGCAGAUGCUGGUGCCGUGCUUCUACAGCCUGCAGAACUGAAGGACUUUACAGCUUCUCUUUCGCAUAUCCAAAUUGCCAGCAUCACCGCUCUUGCACUCCAAGCCAUUAUUAAGUAAAGUAAAGAACACAAACACUGUGAUACUGCUACACUUGAUCUGAUAACCAAGAAGUCUACUAAGUGACUAACAGUUAAUAUUUUUGGACAUGAGGUGACUGCAGUUAACUAAAACCAUGGAAAGCAAACCCAUAGAUAAAGGGAUACUAUGCAGAGCAACUGGGAACCUAAUUCUGACCAAAAAGGAGGAAUUGUUUGGCUAAUUGGAAGUGACAGAAACCUUGGGAGAAAGCAACCGCAUACCAAGGAUAAUUAUAAGAAGAAGAGAAGACAUGGAGAAGAGGAGGGAGUAGUUGUGACCGUGGAGGCAGAGAAUGGAGUAAUGUGAUCAUAAAUCAAGGAAUGCUGACAGCCACUAAAGCUGGAGAAGGCCAAGGACAGAUAUUCAAUCCUCCCGUAGAAGUACAGCCCUGCUAAUGCAUUGAUUUUGGACUUCUGGCCUCAGAACUGUAAGAGAAUAAAUUUCUAUUGUUUUAAGCCUUCAGUUUGUGGUAGUUUGUUACAGAAACCCUGUAAAGUUAAUACACAGAGUUCAAAGAGAAUCCGGUAAUAUCUCUAAAAGACUCGUGUAUUAGUCAGGAUUCUCCAGAGAAGCAAAGCCAAUAGAAUGAUACAUGUUGUUAAAGCAAAUUAAAAUGGAGACCAUGCCUGAAGAAUCUCUGUGCAGAGAAACCCAGUUAGGCCUCAUAAGUUAACCUUACUUGAUUUGCAAACAUAAUCUAAAAGUUAACUGGAGCUAUUUCCGGUAAAUGAAUAUAACACAACUUAAGCUCAAUCAGUCAGAAGCAGCUUUAUAAUUAUGUAGCUAGGGACUUUCCAAGAGGAUGACCAAAG
rnacentral:lncRNA from 1 species